GACGAACGCUGGCGGCGUGCUUAACACAUGCAAGUCGAACGGAAAGGCCCUGCUUUUGUGGGGUGCUCGAGUGGCGAACGGGUGAGUAACACGUGAGUAACCUGCCCUUGACUUUGGGAUAACUUCAGGAAACUGGGGCUAAUACCGGAUAGGAGCUCCUGCUGCAUGGUGGGGGUUGGAAAGUUUCGGCGGUUGGGGAUGGACUCGCGGCUUAUCAGCUUGUUGGUGGGGUAGUGGCUUACCAAGGCUUUGACGGGUAGCCGGCCUGAGAGGGUGACCGGCCACAUUGGGACUGAGAUACGGCCCAGACUCCUACGGGGGGCAGCAGGGGGAAAUAUUGCACAAUGGGCGGAAGCCGGAGGCAGCAACGCCGCGUGCGGGAUGACGGCCUUCGGGUUGUAAACCGCUUUCGCCUGUGACGAAGCGUGAGUGACGGUAAUGGGUAAAGAAGCACCGGCUAACUACGUG
rnacentral:rRNA from 1 species